GGAAGGAAUGCUAAAGGCGUCCACAAAAAAUUCUCAACGCUUCUCUUAAGAACAGAAAUUAUGGCAAAUUUCUAAAUUUCAUAGAUUCACGAUUUAUUUUUAUUUUCUAACUUACUAUUAGAAAAGAAAUACUAAAUGCAAUUACAGCAAAUUACAGCAAAUUUCUAAAUUUCAUAGAUUCACGAUUUAUUUUUCUUUUCCAACUUACUAUUAGAAAAGAAAUCCUAAAUGCUGGUAGACUAGGAAACAGCUGGAUCAUGGAGUUAAAUGUCAAAAGGAAGAUUUUGCACCAUUUAACCGACAGUGCAGCUGACUCGGUACAGGUGACUCUUGCUGCUGUUUUUGAAUUGUGGAGCACUUUAGUCGCCCUCCCUGAGCUUCUGGACAGCAAGAUCUGCUUUGGGAUGGAAGAAUAGCACCCUCAAGAGUUGACAGUGCUGCUUCAGGGAGCCAUGGUAUGCAUCCUUCCUCUUAGUUAAAUCAGCUCCCUGUUUGUAUAACUUAAGCAACAAGUUUUCUCUUUAAUAUUUUAAUUAUUUGGUAUCAAUCACUGUUGAUAUGAAUGGGGAAAUAAGCAUUUCUGCUUGCUUGAGGAUGAGUCAGUUUUAUAUAUCUUAUUUGUCUUCAAACAGGCAGUAAAAAUAAAAAGACAAAUACAUGUCUUUUUGAUAAGUCUGGGAACUUUAUUUUAUACUAUAUUAAAAUAAUUUGAACUGUAAUUUAGAUUUCCAAGUAAAAAUAGAAAACUUAAAAGUUCUUAACUUAGAUAAAAAGGGUCUAUGUAAAAAAACCCAAAACUGAGCAAACCAGUCCUUAAAUUGUGGGGACUUGUUCGUUAAUUACAGUAAUUAGGAAUGGAAUCUGAUCCUAAAAGUUCUGAUUUACUUUAAUUUUUUAUAACAUGUAGUUAGGCCUUAAUUUCAGAAUGAUUAUAGAAUGUGAGAGUGUUUUAAAGACUUGAGAGGUGUAGGUAUUCUUAUUAAAUCACAAACUUGGUGAUACAAUUCUGCUUACACUUUCUUAGUUAUCCUUCUGCUGUUUCAUGCAGCAGUGACUUUUUAUUUUAGAUGUUCAUGGCCUAUUCCUGUUUCUGCUGACUUCAGUCAGACAAGGCCUCUUGAAAACUCUGAGCAUAAACUGCUUACCAGCUUUUAUUCCAGAUGAUAUUUUUCCCAGCAGGCAAAACGUUCAGCUGUGUGUUUGUCCCAUUUCUGGAAAUGGGUUCACUUGAGUAGAACAAGCUGAAUUUGGAUAAUUGGGGACAUUUUACUCUCCACUCUGAAACACCUCAAAUUCACUCCUGUCACAGACUUGAGUCUUUUCCUCUGAUCCAGGACUUUGUUCAGAGUUCUUAUGAGUGUUUUUGUUGCUUAGACAAUGCUGCAGCUCCUUGUGGAAGCAGCCCUGUGAGGCACUGCUACUGCACUGAAACCAAGACAUAUAAUUUUAGAAAAUACUGACUGCAUAUAAAACAAUUUAGGAUUAGUUUUUUUCAAUUGAUAGUGAAAAGUAUACUCUGUGAUCUGUAAAUUAAUGUUUCCCUGCUGUAAUUACAGAAUCCAGUCUCCUGAGAGGACCUUGGAGUGUGCCAACUGACUCUGCUGGCCUUGCAUUUGCUCAUGAAACAGAAGUUCACACCUGCAUUGUGUGAAACAAAAAUAUGGCAUUUUGGUGCAUUGUCAUUUUUGUUUCCCGUUGAGUCCUUUGAAUUUUUAAUUGCAAGAAAUCUGUCAAACCUUUUCUGAGGAGUUUACUGUCACAAGUUUCUCUUUUACUGAAACACUGAGAACUAAGAAUUGCAUCUUUUUUUCUCCAACCAUCACUAUGUUUGAUUCAUUUUCCCUGCAGAUCUUUCUGUAGCAUCUUUAAGCCCGCACCUGCUCCAGGUGGGCUUGGCUUGUCCUUUCAAAGGGACC
rnacentral:lncRNA from 1 species